rnacentral:lncRNA from 1 species
CCGGGAGGAGCCGUGUCGGUGCCGCCUCGGUCCAUCAGGCCUCCUGCGGUUCUCCAUUGCCCGUCUCUCUGGAUUCACCGUCGCCACUGUGCCGCGCCUAGGACUCGGAUCCUGCCGGGAAAAUGUCAGAUGAAUUUUCGUUGGCAGAUGCGCUACCUGAACAGUCCUCUGCCAAAACGCCUGCUGUGACCAACACAAAAGCUGGCCAUUCUCCUCAGGGCUGGCCAGGCUCCAGCCCUUGGAGUAAUCCAAGCGCCCCCCCUGCAAUGCCGUCUGGACUCCCACCGAGUAGUGCAGCACCCUCUACUGUGCCUUUUGGACCAGUACCAACAGGAAUGUAUCCCUCCAUGCCUCCAGCCGGACCACCCCCAGGACCCUUUCCUCCUUCUGGACCAUCAUGUCCCCCACCUGGUGUUCCUUAUCCAGCCCCUGCUGUGCCAGGCCCUGGCCCCACAGGGCCAUACGCUACACCAAAUAUGCCCCUUCCAGAGCUACCUAGGCCAUACGGUGCGCCCACAGAUCCAGCUGCAGCUGGUACUUUAGGUCCAUGGGGAUCCAUCUCUUCUGGACCUUGGGCACCAGGAAUUGCGGGGCAGCAUCCUAAUAUGCCGUAUCGAUCUCCAGGGCCAUACCCCACUGUUCCUCCUCCAGUGUCGGGAGCACCGCCUGUUCCGUGGGGCACUGUGCCACCGGGAGCCUGGGGACCACCAGCACCAUAUCCUGGCCCCGCAGGAUCAUACCCCACGCCAGGACCCCACCCUACUCUGAAUAAUCCUUACCAAGUGCCUUCAGGACCUGCUGGUGCUCCGCCAAUGCCUGGUGGCCCCCACUCUUACCAUUAAGGUGACAGUGGAUGAAGAAAUGGCGUGUUGCCUUUUGAAGUAUAUGUAUAUGCACACGAAAGCAUAUAUAAUGGCUGGUUUCGCUGUUGGUUGAGGGCAUUUGUGAAAGAACUUUUGCACCUCAGCUCCUGCUUCAUGUAUUUGGAUAUGUAGACCAUCACGUGGGUACAAUCAGAUAAUAUGUGGAAGUGAAUCAUUUCAAGUGUGGUUAAUGUGAUUAUGUGUAUUGAAUAACAUUUGAUAUUUGUUUAAAGCAUAGCUAUGCCCUCAAAAUAUAAAAUAACAUGGAUUAUUGUUAGAAUCUACAACUUGACAAAAGUCAAAUACUUUUUCUAAUCACCCCACAACCACCACACCCCAUAUAACUAAGAAUCAUUUGAAAUGUGAGCUCCUCCUACUACACAAA